rfam:Mycosphaerella graminicola IPO323 chromosome 9, whole genome shotgun sequence.
CUUUCAUGAUGAUCGGUUUUUCCAGUUCUGCUACCGAAGCAAAACAUUAUGUGGAUAUUGUACCUUUACCAAAACUUUGUCUGAUCC